UAACCAAUGUUCUAUCUUUGUUUGCAGUGGAAUUAAACGGUCAGCAAACUUCGCCUCCACUACUAACUCAGGCUCUAUCAGUAAUCAACAACUACGUCCCUCAAGGGUUUGCUCCGCCCACUUCUCCAGCCACCAACCGUGGAUGGGCUGCUACCAACAGCCCAGGACCCAUUGAGCUCUAUAGUUCCAAUCAGGACAGCGUAGGCUAUGUACAGACUACCAGCCCACAGCCCUCAGGCUUCCCACAUAUUGCUGUAAGUAGGGGUCCCCUGAUAGCAGCGGCUUUUACAAAUGGUUACCAUUGAGUUAAGGUACUAAGGGGCCUGGUACCGGCUGGUGGUGCAAGGUAGG